UCCUGCAGUGGAAAGGACCACAGGAUUUUAAUCAUUAUUUUAUACAGAGAAGAUUAGCAUGACCCUUGCGCAAGGAUGACACGUUUAAUCGUUAAGCGUUCCACAUUUGG